GACGAACCGUGCGAACGUUAUUCGGAAUCACUGGGCUUAAAGCGCGUGUAGGCGGCCUGGAGCGUCAGCAGCUGAAAUCCCCCGGCUCAACCGGGGAACGGGCGCGGAUACGACGAGUCUGGAGGGGCAUAGGGGGACCUGGAACUUCCGGUGGAGCGGUGAAAUGCGUUGAGAUCGGAAGGAACGCCCGUGGCGAAAGCGAGGUCCUGGAUGCCUACUGACGCUGAGACGCGAAAGCCAGGGA
rnacentral:rRNA from 1 species